UGUAACCGCGUAUAAAGAAGUAUACGUGACGUAUCUGAGCGUGAGAACAACAAACAACAAAACAAUACGUGUUUAUGUUGAUAACAAAAAAGCUUGUAGAGUAUACAUGGUUUGGAGUUAACAGCUUAUUAAGGAAGAAUAAAAGAUUUUCAAGAGUACAUAGCUUACAUGGCUUGGAGCCAAUAACUUUAAUAAGGGAGAGAGAAAAGAGCACCUGGCAAAUAACAUGCAACUUCAUUUUUACUUUCUACAACAUUCCACCUGUUGAUUUCCAAUUAUUCGGUGCAAGUCAACGUUCAUUUUAGCAAAAACAGCUAAAAUUUGGAUUGAAGAAUAACGGUACUCUCUAUGUCCUACAAAAAUACAAAAUUGUAAGGUUUUCUGUCUUUGAAUAAAGCUAAUGACUAUAAUAUUAAUGAAGUGUGAUAUUUAACAUCCUAAGUAAUUAUAACUGAUUAUUGCAGUUUAGUGAAAUUUGUUAUUAUGACUGAUCAUAGUAUUACUGAACUUUGAUAAAAUUACUGUAAUAAUUGUCACAAAUGUAACAAUAAAAUAAAUAAUUUCAAUUUUUC